rnacentral:rRNA from 1 species
GAUGAACGCUGGCGGCGUGCUUAACACAUGCAAGUCGAACGAUGAAGCCCAGCUUGCUGGGUGGAUUAGUGGCGAACGGGUGAGUAACACGUGAGUAACCUGCCCUUAACUCUGGGAUAAGCCUGGGAAACUGGGUCUAAUACCGGAUAGGGGCGCCUACCGCAUGGUGGGUGUUGGAAAGAUUUAUCGGUUUUGGAUGGACUCGCGGCCUAUCAGCUUGUUGGUGAGGUAAUGGCUCACCAAGGCGACGACGGGUAGCCGGCCUGAGAGGGUGACCGGCCACACUGGGACUGAGACACGGCCCAGACUCCUACGGGAGGCAGCAGUGGGGAAUAUUGCACAAUGGGCGAAAGCCUGAUGCAGCGACGCCGCGUGAGGGAUGACGGCGUUCGGGUUGUAAACCUCUUUCAGUAGGGAAGAAGCGAGAGUGACGGUACCUGCAGAAGAAGCACCGGCUAACUACGUG